rnacentral:rRNA from 1 species
UACGGAGGGUGCGAGCGUUAAUCGGAAUAACUGGGCGUAAAGGGUGCGUAGGUGGUUAUAUAAGUUAUCUGUGAAAUCCCUGGGCUUAACCUAGGCAGGUCAGAUAAGACUGUGUGACUGGAGUAUGGUAGAGGGUAGUGGAAUUUCCGGUGUAGCGGUGAAAUGCGUAGAGAUCGGAAGGAACACCAGUGGCGAAGGCGACUACCUGGACCAAUACUGACACUGAGGCACGAAAGCGUGGGGAGCAAACAGG